CAUAGCAAUAUUUAAGAUGUUGAGGAAUUCCUUCCUUUUAAUGCAAUAUGAUUUUCCUUUCUGAUACCUGCUAUAAUAGUGAAGAUACUCCACCCUGUAUUCAGUUAUGUAUUUUUACUGCAUUGACUGUAAGAGAAGACAAAAUGAAAUUUCUUACCUCUGAAUCAGAACUUCUGUGCGAGUAAAAGGGGGCUGUUAAACCCCUGGUGAGAAAUUACCUGACUUGUGCUUGGAUUUUGAACUUCUUAAAAGCAAUGCAUUGUCAUUGUGUAACCAUUGCAAAUAUCAGCGAGCCAUUGCUCUUGGCUUCCUUUGACCUAACAUGCUUUCUAUUGGGAAGAUGGAGACUGUAGCAUCUACAUCCAUUUCAGUUUAGUUUUUGUCAAUCGCUGUAUCCGAAAGGCAGCUGCUCCCUUCUGUUGCUUUGAAACUUUGCUCUUAAAACUAUGCCUCACGUGAGAUCAUUCCUGGUACUAGAGGUAUGCUGGAUUAUUCUCUAGCCUACUUCUCAAGGCUGAGAUUGACAUAAUGAUUUAGUCCACAAGUAGCAACAUAUUGGGAGAGUUUCAUCUUUUCCUCCAGUUUAUGCAUCUUGGUGAAUCUAUGGUGAAUAGUGAAUUACAUUUAAGAGGGUAAGAGGUUAUGACUCAAAGCAUGAGAUGUCUUCCUAAGAGGGACAGGACUUGAUUCUUAUUUCCUCUGUCGCAUCUCCAGGCUGUCCUGGUGGGAUAAAAAAGCCUUCCAUGGAUGUAGACCAGCACUGGAGUGAAUUAUAAUCAGGCCUGGGAUUUAUUUGAAUUACAAAUUCCUGAGGCUUCAGACAGUGCUGCAUGUGGUCAAGAUGAUUUGCCCAGCUUAUUCAGCUCUACAGUGGCCUGAGUUGGAUUUUCAUUACCUUGGACAACAGGCCUCUGCCAUGCAUGCUCACUUUUGUGCACAGCUAAGCUGAAACUUGUUCAUGUUUACUUGAAAUGGAAAAUAAUAAAAUACAC